UCCAAUAGCCACCCAACCUCUGCAAGGAGUCCAUCCAUUUCCUCAAAGUGUGUGUGUGUGUGGGGGGGAGUAUAUCUCAAGGCAGCCAGGAGAAGGCUUUGAAGGACACACAGGAUUUUCCUGAAGACACAGUCUCUGAAAGAUGCGUCCUUCAGGAAGCGCCACCUCCCUGUUGCUAGCGGAUCUGAUCGGUGCUGACUCCAGACACAGGCACAAGACUGAAAUUCUUCAGCACGUUUGGUCAGGUCACGUAGAAAACGUACGUGUUCAACAUUCAUUCAUCCUGCACCCCGACCAGCGUAUGAAGUGGAAAUUCCUGGUUUCUUCGGAGACUCAGUUGUGUCAGGCUUUUAAUCAAAACAAACGUUACGGAAUGAAGUCGGAGUGAGCUGUCUAUGUCAACUGCAUCCUAAGUGGCCUCUCAGGCUGCAGAGUGUGUAACCGGGGUUGGCUGCUACCCUGAAUUCUUCAUCUUGGUAUGGUUUUUCUCUACGUCUGUCAUUUAACAGGACUGCGGUCCCGUGAUGUUUUCCUGUGAAUCCAUCAGAACUAUAAAUGUGGAUGCACGAUAAUAAUUCAGAGACCCAGUGUGAAGAACGCUCCCAAUGAGAAUGUUAGCUGCCAUGGACAAUUUCUCUUUUUUACUGUAGUUUGAAGCCAUUAAAAUAUUUGUUCGUGA